rnacentral:rRNA from 1 species
CCCUUAGAUGUUCUGGGCCGCACGCGUGCUACACUGAUGCAUUCAACGAGUCUAAAACCUGGUCUGAUAGGGCUGGGUAAUCUUUUGAAAGUGCAUCGUGAUUGGGAUAGAUGAUUGCAAUUCUUCAUCUUCAACGAGGAAUGCCUAGUAAACGCAAGUCAUCAGCUUGCAUUGAUUACGUCCCUGCCCUUUGUACACACCGCCCGUCGCUCCUACCGAUUGAAUGAUCCGAUGAAUACCAUGGAUUGAGAGUACGAAUAGGUUCGCUUAUUUCUGCUUCUCGAGAAGUGGAGGAAAUCUUAUCAUUUAGAGGAAGGAGAAGGCGUAACA